rnacentral:rRNA from 1 species
CCUACGGGAGGCAGCAGUGAGGAAUAUUGGUCAAUGGCCGGAAGUCUGAACCAGCCAAGCCGCGUGAAGGACGAAGGUGCCAAGCAUUGUAAACUUCUUUUGUCAAGGGACAAAAUCAGGCUCGAGAGCCUGACCGAGGGUACUUGAAGAAAAAGCAUCGGCUAACUCCGUGCCAGCAGCCGCGGUAAUACGGAGGAUGCGAGCGUUAUCCGGAUUUAUUGGGUUUAAAGGGGGCGUAGGCGGACUGUUAAGUCAGCGGUAAAAGCACGGGGCUCAACCCCGGCGAGCCGUUGAUACUGGCUGUCUUGAGAUGUCGAGAGGUAUGCGGAAUGCGCAGUGUAGCGGUGAAAUGCUUAGAUAUUGCGAAGAACUCCGAUUGCGAAGGCAGCAUACCGGCGGCGAUCUGACGCUGAGGCACGAAAGCGUGGGUAUCGAACAGGAUUAGAUACCCGUGUAGUC